UGCCCCAUGGCUGAGUUGGUUACAGCGUCCGACUGUUACUAAGUGGCUUGUCUACAAGUCCGAGUUGCGUGAUCGGAAGGUCGUGAGUUCGAGCCUCACUGGGGCAG